rnacentral:sRNA from 1 species
GCCAGGCGCGGUGGUGCAUGCCUGUAAUCCCAGCAGCUAGGGAGGCUGAGGCAGGAGGAUUGCAAGUUCAAAGCCAGUCUCAGCAACAGUGAGGGCCUAUACAACUCAGUGAGGCCCUGUCUCUA